UACGUAGGGGGCAAGCGUUGUCCGGAAUCAUUGGGCGUAAAGCGCGUGUAGGCGGUUCGGUAAGUCCGCUGUGAAAGUCCAGGGCUCAACCCUGGGAUGCCGGUGGAUACUGUCGGGCUAGAGUACGGAAGAGGCGAGUGGAAUUCCCGGUGUAGCGGUGAAAUGCGCAGAUAUCGGGAAGAACAUCGGUGGCGAAAGCGCGCUACUGGGCCAUAACUGACACUCAGGGACGAAAGCUAGGGGAGCGAAUGGG
rnacentral:rRNA from 1 species